rnacentral:tRNA from 1 species
GGCGGAUGUAGCCAAGUGGAUCAAGGCAU